GAUCCAUUUUAUUAUUUUGACUAAAAUUUUCUUAUCAAAACUUGAAUAUUUACAUUCUAAAAUGCAAAUUCUAAAGUGUACCUACAUGUACAUUUGAUAUUACUUUUUUUUUUUUUUGCUUUUUACCUCAUAUUUCUCAUUUCUUGGAGCAUAUAUUCCAUCAUUUCGAGCAUUCUAUCUCUGUUUCCAUUACCCUCAACUUGAUCUUUCCUAUAGUUAUUAGAAUGAUUACUUUGUGAAAACAUGUUUUGAUUUUGACCAUAGUAAUUAUUAAAUUGAUCUUUUUUCAUAUAAUUACCAGUGUUUGACUGAUAAUUUUUUUGCAUAUAUUGU
rnacentral:lncRNA from 1 species